GUGGGGGGGACGAAGUCCCCCCCAACGAACAGAAAGUACUAGUAGUGAUAAGAAUAUUCCUUCAUGAAUCGUGAUAUCACCGGCGACAUCGAGUUGAUCAAGAAUCAAGAUCAAGAAAAUGUCCAUUCCAUGUUUUCUCCGAACUUCCGAAACUGUGAUUUGAUUGCUGGUUUGCUGCCCUGAAUCAAGCGAAAUUCUACGAAAUUCAAGGAUUCAAUCAGGGAACAAUUUUGGUGCUCGAAGAAAGUGAUCUAUCGAAGAAAGUGAGGAUGACAAAGAUUACGAAUGAAGAUUCUUUUCAAUCAAUUAAAAAGUACUUGAAAGUAUAAAUAUCAAUUAUAUGGAGAAUAACAACAGUAGUAUGACACCAAGUAGAAGCAAACAUAAGAUGAGUAGUAUAGUUGGAAUGGGUGAACCUAGCGGUGGUAUUAAAUUAAUAAUUUCGCCACAAUACGAACCACCUCAAUUGUAACCAAGCAAGAAAAGGAGCGCAUGCAAGAAGAAAUGUACCAGCAAAUGUCCAGAUAUAAACGUAUGCGAAGGGAAGAUCAAGCUGCUUUAGAGAUGAGAUGGAAACGUGAAUUAUCAUUAUUAGAUGAAUCGACACCAAAGAGACAAACAAUCGACCCAAGAUAUCUGCAUAGUUAUCGUUGGCAAUAAAACUUAUCUCGAAAAAGAUAGAAUUUAGAGUUAGUUGACCAGUAUUAAGUAAACUUCAGACCUCAGGUUCAUGUUUAGCUGCAUUUUUACUUGACUAAUGUGUUCAAUUCUAAGUAUUUGUUCUAGAUACGCUAAACAAGUUGGAGCAAAAGUAUAGCAAAACAGUAUCUUGUGUCAGCAAAACUAAACCGUGAUAUAGAAAAAUUAUUCUUAGAAUUUACUCGGUUCAUGGUACAAAAAGCCGAAGAGCAAAUAAGUAAACUGAAAGAAAAGCCUAGAAAAUGCUGCGAUGGUCCAUCACAUUGAUAUCAUCGUUCUAAAAAUUAAUCAGUAUUUUGCAAGUUUCAUUAUCAAUAUCAAUGUAAUUUAUAUCCAACUGCGUAUUAUUACGUAGGAUCGAAUUUGCGUCCUGUUAGAAUAGCUAGAUUUGUGAUGUAUUGAUUUGUCUUAAGAAUAAGACUGGUUUAUACUGAACUUAAUGUACGUUAACAUAAAGUUGCCUUUGUUUAACUUCUAGGUUCAAGUUUAAGGUUACCAUUAAAUUCAGUAUAGCCGCACCUUCAUCGUUGAUCGAGUCAUAAUAGGUACACGUACCUAAUUGCUGAGUGUUGCACGCGCAUUGUUUCAAUUUUAAUACACAUUUUUUUUCA